rnacentral:miRNA from 1 species
AAAAAGCAAAAAGUUGCAAUAU